UACAGAGGUCUCAAGCGUUGUUCGGAUUCAUUGGGCGUAAAGGGUGUGUAGGUGGCGCCGUAAGUCGGGUGUGAAAUUUCGGAGCUUAACUCCGAAACUGCAUUUGAUACUGCGGUGCUUGAGGACUGGAGAGGAGACUGGAAUUUACGGUGUAGCGGUGAAAUGCGUAGAUAUCGUAAGGAAGACCAGUGGCGAAGGCGGGUCUCUGGACAGUUCCUGACGCUGAGGCACGAAGGUCAGGGGAGCAAACGGG
rnacentral:rRNA from 1 species